GAAGGGUUCAUGAGAGAGACGCUACCGAGUGACCCAAAUACCAGCUCAAAGCUAAGACAGGAAGAAGCGUGCCGAAGGAAAUUCUUUGGUGCCUUAAGGUCAUCGUUACCUGUGGUCAUUGAUGAAGAAACAUUUCUCGCCCUUCGUACUCAAUCAGCAGUCAAAUCAUGAAGAUCAAAGUAGGAGAAGCCUCACUGCGAAUCAAGUGAAGACAAAAAUAGAUUUUCUACUUCGUGAUCUCUCUUUGACAAGGAACUCAGAAGACGGUUUAAGGUGCAUAUGCAAUAUAUUUUGGUUCAAGGAAACCAAAAAUUGAAAUAAAAAUGUAAUUGCGAAGGUAUCACAAUCAUAUUGAAAUGACAGAGUCCAUCAACACUACAGAAGAGUAAAGCGACAAGUCUAA